rnacentral:lncRNA from 1 species
UAAACCCUUGGGCAGCAUGCUGCGUCGGAGGUUAUACUUUGAGCAAAGAAGCGUGGGUGCUAUUGUGUCGCGGGUCGAAGCCGGAAACUAAAUUUUUGUUGCUAUUGUCGCAAACCAAAAGUUGGAGCGUGAGUGUUCUUUAAAAUUUUAUUACACUAGCAAUCUAGUCUUGAAAGAAAGUGAGCACUACUUUUUUUUGCGAGAAAGUGAACACUGUAUUUGUAGGCAUAGGUAAUUUAUUAGUGAUGUUCCCACUCAAUUCAUUUGUUGCUUAGUCUUGUGGUAAUGCUGGCUGUUGUUCCACAUAUAUGGAACGAUGAUUGGGACUGCUCUUGUUUGGUCGCCAACAUGUAACACUGCAACUUCGGUGGGCCGGUUGGGCUUGUCUGAUGUGCGAGGCUUGCUUUGCUGCGUCGGGUGGUGGUUCUCUCAGCCGAUCAAAUACGAUAGGCCCAGUUCUGGCAAGGCCGGGUCGGCUCGCCACUAGUAAUACUGAAAAAAAUCAUGUCAACUUCGAGAUCACUAGAAGGCCCAAUAGAGUCGCUUGACUCAUUCCGCUCUUUUUCCUGCUAGCGCUUGAACCAAAAAAAACAUCAGCUGCUUGCUAAAAAAUCAGACAUCAUUCAAAAAAUAAAUUAAAAACAAAACCAUGAAUAAAUAAGUAUGUUCACAAAAUUAAAGAUGUUCAUGAUGUUUUUUAAAAAUGCUAAUGAAUUUUAAAAAAGUUAACAUAUUUAAAAAAUGUUUUUGAUCUUUUGUUACAAAUUGUCCAAAACAAGUUAACUUGCACAUAUGCAUAGGUAGCUGCUGUCGUAAUGUGCGCACGUCACCAAGUUUGAGUGCACUUAAUUAGAAGUUGUUUUAUAUGGUGGAGUUUGAUUAGAGACUUCAUUUCUUUACACCUCAUGUUCCCUACCAUGUUUUGAGUUCACAAGGGCACUAUAGGGAAAAGAGCAAGAAGAGCCUACCUGGUCAACAGAAGUUGCUUUCAGUGUAGAGCGUCUUGACACCUCCAGGGUGUUCCAUACCAUAGCCAAAAUAUGCCUUUGAGGGUUUACUUAGUCCACAAAGGUGUGCAACUACUUUCCGAGUUCUGAAGGUGGGUUCCCUAGCAAACACCAAAGAAGCUAUGACGAGAAGUGCAGUAUAUUCAAAAAAAUAUAAAAGUAAAGAGAAAGUCCACUGAAAAGUUCAAGAAGUGCAAGUAAUCCUUCGACAAAACAAGAGGAAAGUUACCAAAAUUUCUGAAGUCCAAGUCUCCAAGAUGCAAGUCCUUAUCGCGCUAGGGGAAUCACUGGAAAGAAGGAGGAGGGUAGUUGUGUUCCACCCCUCAACAUGGGCAUGAAAAAUUGCCAAGCCAUUCUCCUAUUGAAACAGAUGAAAUCAUGGCAGCCAAAGUGCAGGCCCAUUGAACGGAAACCUCCACCUCCGAAGGGAACGCCAGAUCCGGUGAAAGUGAAGCGCAUUGUGGAUGCCCUUAAGCGACCUCCACUGCCUCCGCCGGAAUCCAACUAUAACCACUGUAUUGCAAAGACAUAUGAUGAAGCGCGAUGGUCAGGAAGUACUUUCAGUGAUGCAAUAUUAGCAGAACAAAGAAGUGGGAAAACAAGUCCCUAGCUCGGCGAACAGGUGAAGCAAUCGUGCCCCCCCCCAGCUCAAGGUGUCUAGCAAUAUCAUCGCUAAUCAUCCGGGGCUAGUGCCCGGUACCAAUUUUGGUGAUUACCUGAGCGAUGAUGUACAAUUUGAAACGUUAGAGGUAGUAUAGAUCUUCAUAUACGAGCACGGGAAGCCUCUCAUCAAACCUGGUCAUCCUCCUCUAACAACGAUGAUGCAAAAAUUGCAUGAAUGGUACAUGGAUACCUACAGGAAGAGUGGGGCCGAGAGUAUGUUGCUGAGGAUUAAAGAGGAGCACGACCUCAUUGGAGUUGAGGUGAUGCCUAUUGAAUUUGUGGAGUUAUUUCAGUUAUUUAAUCAAGAAGCCCUCGACAAACAACUCAUGACUUGCUACUGUCUAUAAUUAUUACUUCUCUAAUUAAGUCUCUAUAGCUCAGCUCGUUCAUUGCAUGUAUAUAUAAUUAUCCGCACUAUAUUAUGCAGACUGAAGAUCAUCAAAUGCAAAAAAGGGACAAAUCUAUGACCUUGGGUUCAUUAUCCCAAAUACCGUAAAUGAAUGAUCGGUUAAAACAGAGUCAAAGAUACUGAGGAAAACUUGCCACAAUCGUUCCUUCGACAUCAAAAUAAAGGGAAAAUACUCUUUCCUUACAACUUCAAGUGAGCCUUACUGUCUUGUGCAUAUUUGGUUUCGCUUACUCGAGGUUAACUAAUUAAUGUAAUUGAUGAGUUAUGCGUGCGCAGAUUCCACUUUAUUCUGCUAGAGAUUAAGUUUGACAGGGGAGUAGUAACUGUCUUAGACUUGACAUGUAAAGAUCCCCAUGACUAUGCGGACAUGGCUGCAAUGCUCCAGAAGUAAGUUCAAACAUUAUCGCACUAUAUCGGCAACUUUUGUUCAUUUCCUGAUAUCAAGUAAUCAUUUUCUUUGCCUGGCAGGGUUUGGAAAAAGUUCACUGGAAUGGUUCCGGGUCUGCAGAAGGAGCUGCGAUUUACACACCCCAAAGUAAGUAGUACUAGCUAGUUCCGCGCAUCUCUCAUUGAUUCUAGUUUCAUCAAUACCAUUUAUCAUGCUUGAUUAUCAGUUUGAUUAAACUCUAUUUCUCGUAAAGUGCUUGUGGCAGGAAUGCGGGAAUAAUUUAUGUGGAUACUAUGUUUGCGAGUUCAUCCGCCACUCGACCUCUGAGCGGGGCUACUCUGAGAAACAAUAUGAAGUACGUAAAUCAUAUUCACAAUAUUAUUGUAUUACCAUCAAUUGUGUUGUGUUUCAUUCAUAUAUAUUUAUUGACCCCCUUCUUUAAAUUAGAUGUGGGAGAUGCGGGAUGAACUCCUACUACAUGAUCGCAUACGAGCAAUUCAAGAGGAAUUGGCGGGAUUCUUUAUUGACCACGUCAUACAUAAAGACGGAGAAUGCCAUGUGGAAAUUGAAGCUGAUUUUCGGUAGAUGAUGUCAGGGAUCGUAAGAGAUGUUAUAUUGUAUAAAUGUAGUAGCGUCAAAUAGAAAUACGAAAACUUGUUGUUCAACCAAUCUCGGAGAAAGAGAGGUCACUUCUCUCUGUAUAUGUUCAUGACGAUUUUAUGUAAUUAAUGGUUCCUUCACUUGCUUACUAGCGUCGAGUUCUCUCUAUAUGUAGUAGCUAAUGUCGACCAAGCACGGAGAAAGAGAGGUCAUUUCUCUCUAUAUGUAGUAGCUAUAGCUAACACAAUAUGAAACCCCUAAUUAAACAAUCCAAAACCCCCCAAUAAACUCCCCCUUUCAAAAAAAAAAACCCCAGCGUCUGGCAGCUGCUGACGCGUGGCUACCCUUUAGUCCCGGUUGGUAACACGUGGGCGCCCCACAACGGCCACGUGGACCUCCUUUGGUCCCGGUUCGUAAGCCAACUGGGACUAAAGGUUUUGGGCAUUAGUCCCGUCUGUUUUGUCCCGGUUCCAGAACCGGGAUUAAAGGCCCUCUGGAACUGGUAGUAAUGCCCUAUUUUCUGCUAAUGUAUGCACUAUGAAGGUAGUAUCAUACACUAGUAUCAUGUGCAUGAUACUAGUAUAUGGUACUCCCCAUUAUGAGUAGCCUUAGGCUGGCCAUAGUGGGGGUAACAUAAGCGGUAUCAUGCACUUGGGACUCGUAAACAUGCUAAUAUGACAGACAAUUAAAGAAGAGAGACAGGGUUAGUAACAUAGAUAGAUAUCGUAUCAUAAUUAAUGUAUGCUACUAUGUGUCAUGCAUGGCAAUAAAUGAGACUACAUAUGAUACUAAUCUAUGAUACUCUGCACUAUAGGUGUUAUCAUACACUAGUAUAUAACACUCCCCACUAUGACAUUAGUUAGUUUGUCUGUAAAGAAAGUGAACACUGUAAGCAAUUUAUUAAUGUUUGGACCAAAUUUGUUACUUAGUCUUGCGGUAAUGCUGGCUCAGUACUGAAGGAACGAAGAUUGGGACUACUCUUAUUGGUGGCCAACACAGGGAAGUGGAAUUUCUACACCUGAGCUCAUAUGCUCCAGGUGUGAACAGUAAAAUAAAUAAAAUAUAAAAUAUUUCAAAAAAUUCUGAUUUCUUUUUUGACAUACUUUAAAAAAUAUUUGUUGUGCAUGUAAAAUUUGAUCAGGAAAUGACAUUGGUGGAAGGCAUGGCAAAAAAAAAAGAUACUCUAAAAAUGUUACAUUCAAACGCAUUUUGUAACUCUGAUUUUGUUUCUUUUUUACCACGACUUCCACCAAUGUAAUUUGAUGAUGAAAUUCUGUAUGCACAACAAACAUUUCUUAAAUUAUGGCACAAAAAUUUCAGAACUAUUUGAAUUUUUUCUACUUUAUUUAUUUUACUGUUCAGAGUAUCCUUGUUCAUAAUGCGUUCCUUCACCAAAUUGUGAUUAAUAUGUGGUUGGCAGAUCAGCGCUGCAAAAUAAAAGCUACUAGUCGGCAAGUGGCCCACAUGGUGGAAUCGUGACCCUCGGGAAGAACAAUUCAAUGAUUUGGAUGUCCCAUGCGCUGCACAGCUCCACCACUUGAACUAGAAAAUUAAAAGUUUCUUCGGUCACUGCUCCAAAUAUAAACGCCAAACCGCAAACAGAAAAUAUGCAGUAUAUGUCAUCUUGACCGAGUAGCGCGCGCCAAUGUCCAAUCAAGCCCAGUCGUAAAUGUAAUUAAAAAGUACAGAUGGAUACAUUUACAAUACUUAUAUAGAUCUUAAUUAAUAUCGACUUGACUUAGGGGUGGAGCUCAUACAUACGGCAAAAUAAGGUUCAAUUAUUUCCUCAUUAAUUUCCUUGACGUCACGUCGUAUACAUACGGCAAAUGCGGCUAAAGUAUACGGCAAGUUGCUCCUUCGCUCGUGGGUCCCAACUAUUGAAUUCAUGCUUCAGUCAACUCAUCCAACUAUUUUAGUCCUUAGACAUGGGAUCGACGUAGGCAGCAGAAUCGUUUUCAUAAAACUGCGUUGGCGUGGUCUUGAACUCAAGACCUCUUAGCUCUGAUACUAUAUUGAGUUCAUGCUUCAGCCAACUCAUCCAAAAGUCCGAAUUGAUGGAGGGAGGCGGACAAUAUAUUUCAACACUCCCCCUCACGUCUAGACUAUUUUAGUCCUUAGACAUGGUAUCGACGUAGCAUAAUCGUUUUCAUAAAACUGCGUUGGCAUUGUCUUGAACUCAAGACCUCUUAGCUCUGAUAUCAUAUUGAAUUCAUGCUUCAGCAAACUCAUCCAAAAGUCCGAAUUGAUGGAGGGAGGCGGGCAAUAUAUUUCAAUACCAAGCGCUCACGUAAUGUUUUCUUGGUAUUACGACUUAGCAAAAUCAGAUCCACGCUUCUCUUUAUCAGCGACGAUUAUUAUUCUGAUGCCACUAGUAAAAAACAGGGCCUUAGCACAAUGACUUUUCAAUUGUCUAUUACAACAAUGUUUGCCCGGCUUCUUUGACAAUAAGUCGUAUAUAUGCUAAUAUUCUGUAAGCAUUCUUUACCAACUCUUUGACGGAGUCCAGCAGAUCAAGUUCCUUAUAGGUCUUUAGUCGUCUUAUUCUUGCCAACUCUGGUUGGUGAUCAGUGAAAUGUAUAUUCUGCAAAUUGCAUGGCUUUCCUUCGGUCGACAGUAUAUAUAUACUUGAGCAUUUGAAGGUCGUGGAGCGCAGUACGCCUAGAAAGCCAUUUAGCCUGUCGUCAAACUUAACCGUCUUACAUAUCCAACCGCAGAAAGAGAAAGGCACAAGCUGAGAUGGAGCAGGACCCUUCAUUCACCAUCCAGUUCGGUUCUCUACCCCCAACUUUACUCCACAUAGCGUCUGUAGCCGCGCCUGCUGCGCCAGUGACAGGUGCACUUUUCCCAUGGCUAUUAUUUCCAUAUUACAAAUUUCUUUUUUUAGUGAAACAGCCGGUGGUUAUUCUUUAGCUGCAAGAAUUAUCUCCAUUCCAUUUUAUCUGGUUCAUAAUUCACCCCAUCACAAUCUCUUGAGAUUUGAUGAGGUCAACGGAUCUCGAUUAGCUAUAAAAGUGUAAUCUACAAAAAAUAUAUUUGAAGAAUACAAUUCGUUACUGAUGUAUUUUACUCAUACAUUUCAUGUAAAUCUGCAACAGGAGUAUUUACACCGUCAACAAAUGCUAUAAAAAUUUAAAGACUAACUUUUACCAAUUGUUCAUCCAAAUAUAUAAAAUUAUAUGAAAAAACAUAUUAAUUAUUACUUAAUAAUCUAUAACAAUACUUUAGAGGCAAUUCCAGUGGUAUCACUUGCUUUACACCAUAUAACUAAGAAAAAACUACUCUCGCCGAUCUAUAUCAUUUGUCUUUGAUUUAGUAGUAUCACUUUGUACUAAAUCAACUACACUUAAUAUGGACUGGAGGGUGUAAUUUCAUCAAUUUACCAAAAUUGGACAAAGAUUCCAAUGUGAGAUUAAAAGCCAUCAAGUUAAAUUUUGAUAACAAUUAGACAAAUCAUAUACAUAUAUUUGUAACAGGAAUAUUUCACCUGAAUGUUCUGCUUUAUAUUAAUUGAAUGGUAUCAGUUUCCUAUCAUGUAACACACGUGCCUGUCAAAACAAAUCUAGAAGUUGUUCUGCAUCUACAAUUUUGGAUGGGGAUGGAUGGUAUAUGCUAUCUCUCAAACCAUGUUGUCCUAAAAUUGAAGGUAGUAUUCUUGUGUCUGCGUUCUAAACAUAUUUAAGGUAGUAUAAGUAUAUAUGUCAUAAAUGAGUACAAACACACGCCCCUUAAAUGCAUACAUAUAGUAGUUCUUAUGUCCGUUUUGAUAGUAAUUAAUCACAACAUGUAUCGAUUGUUCAUGAAGUUCCGCAUGGCCUGUACAGGGUGGAUGGGAGAGGCUGAAAUAGCGAAUGUGGAUUUUAACCUGGAUGGUGAUUAUGUUGCAUUCAUUAACGAACUGUGUGAGAAGCUAGCCAACAACCCAGAGCAAGCCGCGAAACUCGACGCAGAUCCUUUGACUUGGCACAGGGAGCAUCCUUUGCUCCCCAAGCAACAACGACCUAUUCAGCCACCAAGGUGGCUGCAUAUUAAUCUUACAGUGGAGAGUAGCAACAUAACUUUAAAGGUCCGUGAUGAUACAGUGUACCUCAUUGGUUUUAUGAACAAGAGUGGACGCUGGUACGAGUUUGGUUUCGAGUGCCUAGAGAGGGUGAGUGGGCAUAUGAUCGAUGGUGCCUCGUUUUUGCAGUGCGGGGUAGGGUACAGGGACUUAGUAUUAGACUAUAACCCUAUAGGUGAAGAGCAGCUUGCCAGCGCAAUUGAAAAUGUAGAAGAUAAAAAAGAAGCUAAGAAAAUUAUAGAGCAGAUUGUAAAAGGAGCUGCGAGUGGUGGCUCAGACCAUAAGAAACUGAGGAAAAUAUUGGGGGAGCUAGAACUCGGCAUGGAAUUAGCUAAAGCCGCUGUCCGUAGGCUGUCGAUCUACGAUGGUCUGGGACAGUUCCCACUUGAAAAAGACAUCAGGGAGUACUUGGCGUGCCUCAUUGUGAUGGUAUGUGAGUCCGCACGUAUGUUUCCAUACCGUCGCACGGUCCACAACGGUUGGGGGCUGUGGUCCGAUCGAAUUGUAGAUGGGGAGGUAGACUUCAUAUGGAACUGGGGGAGAAUGUCAGGCAUGCUGUUAGACUGCUGGAGGAAAUCCAACAGCCAAUUGAGGAAAAUCGGGAUCAAUGAUAGAGAAGCCGCACUCGCUGUCGUUCACCUGCUGCGUAACUCAGCGCCAGCUCCUCCACGCGGUGCCGGCAGCCAAGGCCAACAGUCGCAAACGCCAGCUGCGGGCUCUAGCAAACAAGAGCCGCAAACAGAGCAGUCGUGGUUUGAGAAGCCUAGCCAACCCAAGGCGCAGGCGCAGCAACAGCAAGCGACGUCCAUGGACGGUCAGCGAGGCAAAACGCUGGCGGAGGUGUUCCGCGUGAGUGCUAACAUCCAUCUCGUCAGUAGCAUCACCGUCUCUGACGGGAAACGGAGACAGAUCAUCUACAGGAAAAACCAAGGGCAUGGAUCUGGUGCCUCCAGUUCCGUGGACGACUCACAAUCGGAACUCAAUGUAUGGAUAUAUAUAACUAGCUACUUGUGUCAGCUUAGUAGCUAGAAUUGAUUAACCUAAUGUUUGAUCUACUCCUAUAUAUAUUUACCUGCCGCUGGCAUGAUACACAUGAUGCAGGCUUUGGUGCUCACUGGACCAUACAAAGCUAUCUCGGCGGAUGGAAGCUUCGUCCUUCAAGUUGAUACCAGUACCAGUGCAACUGCGACAGCUGAUCCAUCCAGGGACCAAUCUAGGAAUGUUGGUGCGGCCAUGUUCUGGGAUGGCUAUGCUGAAUACACACGGUGUAACCAGGUCUUGACGCACAACUUCACCAGGGCCCCCCACCACAACAUAGAGGUCACCUAUGCGGUGCUGACUAAUGCCGUGGAGGCCCAAGUCAAGGUUAUCCUGUUCAGCAACAAGAUCCCCGGUUCGACAACGGCAAACCCUGCCCGGGUCUAUGGUAAAAUCACCACACGCCUCGAGGGCAUGGAUGCUGAGAGUGUGCUCUUUAGCCGCGAACGGGAGGAGAAAGUGGAGGUCCAUCAUGAUGCAGUAGCCACUCUUCCACUGGCUCGGUCUAUAGUUGCAGUUCCAUUCGAUUCUAAGAUGAUGGUAACGUUGGAAUUGCAUGCUACAGUAUUUGGCGUGGGGGAUAUACCCAUUCAACAAGCUUCAGAGAUCCACAUUAAAGACGAUUACUUUGCGAUGGGAACGUCUUCCAACUAUGCCACCGUACAAGUGUGGGUCGACCAUUCUCCACUCCUUGCCGGCAGUGCAGAAAGUCAGUUUGUCGACCAUUCUCCACCCCUUACCGGCAGUACAGAAAGGCAGUUUGAGCAUUAACGCUACUUAUACUAGAUGAUGCCCCGCGCGUUGCUGCGGAAAUUUCUCGUGGAUUUUCAAAGUAACAUCAACAUCUCAAAGAAGAAAAUAAUUUCAGUCAAUAGUUGAUAGAUUUCUCGUACAUACAAUGACUAAAAUUUAUUGCUGGGAUGUAUUGGAGGAUAAAGCCUGCUAUUUGUAGCAUGAUUGCAUGAACCAUAUGCCGUAUGAUAGCAUGUACCAUAUUCUUACUCAAUAUAUUUGAUGUUGUUUAUAGGUGGGCCUUCUUGAGUUACUACAACCUGAAUAUAUGGUAUCCCAUUCUUUUCAUACUCCACGAUAGAUCCCAUAGAUGAUAAUGGAUGGUAACCAGACAGUUGGUUAGCGACGUGUUGAGGCUUGGACACAUGUUUGAAAGUUAUAAACGUCGGGUCUUUUGUGCCCUUCAUCUUUGCAAUUGCAUCCUUGUAUUUCUUCUGAGCUUCUCUUCUUGAAACGGCGGUAGAACAUGGCAGAUUAUUUUUUCCAUAAUUAGGUGGCGUUCUUGAGAAGAUGGAGCACGUUGUUAGUCAGAAAAAGCAGUGGAAUGAAAAUAUAUAGCAAACUAAUUUCAGUAGGAGUACCUGUUGCUUCGGUCGUCCAUUUGUACUUCCUAUUCUAUCAUUAGCUUAGUACCUAAGAAGUUUUAAUACACCAGACAAAUAAAAUUAAGGAGACUGAUUCCAUUGAAUAAUUAUUUUCUUUUCCCAUGCUAGCGAACAUGGCAUCAGGUACCUAACACAUCUUUCUGCUUUAAUACUGCUAUUGUCACAUUUCAUUGUUACACUGAUAAAGUUGAGUGUAUAUGUCUGUGAAAGGUAAAAAAAGAUCUAUGAGCCAUGCGAGUUAAGCCUAGUUACCCCCCUGCAAAAUCUAUGGUUGUAUCUCUUUUCCCUGCUUUAUACAUCUUUAAAAAAAUUUAUCAAUUCACUUAUCUAACAUUUUCAGUAAACUAUAUACCACAUGGAUAAUUCAUAUUGUUAGAGACAAAGCUUGAAUCAAGGAGACAUGUAGACCUGUCAAGUGUGUAUUGUUUCCAAGAUGUAUAUACAGUCUUUCUGGCUAGUAGAACAUUCACAUGUCUAUUUCUUGUAUGUAGUUAUAUCUGAUGGUAUGUCAAUAGGAAUAUCAAUUCCUUUUUGUCUUCCAAAUUCCUCUUUGUCUCCCAAAUUAUGGUUCACAAAGUUCCUAAUGUUCGCCCGACAUGAAAACAAACUGCUAGUCUACAGCUUGAAUGAGCCGCAUCUUUAAUUUGUUCUCAGCUGUGUAACUUGGCUCAACAAAGAGAUUACUGAUCUCUCUCUCUCUAUAUAGCACUUGAAUUGCAUGUGAGACAAAUAUUAUAUAUAAUAGCAAAACUUUAAAUCCAUAGAUAUAGGAGGAAACCAAUGACAACUUAUCAUAGAAACAAUGAAACAUACAGGGAAAAUCAACUGACAUGGUGGUAUAUCAAAAAAAAUGGAAAAAUUAUGAGUAAAAUUUUGUUCUGUUUCAGACUUUCAGUACAACAGCCAGAUCGCAUCAACCUUUGCAUUGACCAAGACAUGAAAAUUUAAGAGCGUCCCAUGAACUUUGCAUCAGCCAAGACAUGGAAUUUCAAGAUACGAAUAGCACAACCAAAGCAAGAAAAUUACAUGAUGCAGUUCUAGAAUUUAGAACCAGACCUCUAGCAAGCGGGGCGGAAUCAGCGGACGCCUCGAGGAGAAGACUGUGAUGAGAACCCGGGCAGGCGAGUGACGGGAAGGGAUCAACUCCAGUGCUUAAAAGGGAGAGCCACUAGGUCGAUUACCCUUCAUGAGGAGGGAGUCAUAAAUCCAGCAGUUUCUUCUUUUUCACAUGAAUCCAUCCGUUUCCGUCGAUUGAGUGGUGCGAGGCCGUUUCAUGUGCGUCAUAAAAGUGGCUGUGGGAAGACGAACGAAUUUGAUGGAGUUAAUGUCGUGUUGGGUGCGGCGGGCUGGCCGGGAGCAACGACCAUCGUGGCGGUUGUGCUGGGGGGCAUCAGCUAUGGUGGCGGAAUCCACAGAGGUGGCUACUGGAUCACACAUCUCUGGAUAGGUGGCUCAUCGGGGACGGCCGACGAUGACGGCGGAAGGGUUAGCACUGACGGCUGGCUAGGGGCAAGCAUGGGUGAUGGUGGCUGCUGGUAGAGUACAAGGGACGGCAGCGUCUGGCCAGGCAAGGGUGGAUCGUGGCACAGACCUGCCGGAAGGGCUCCUGGCGGCGGCUGCCCGGGAGUGUGGAUGGUCGUGGCACGAUCUUUUCUUGAGACUGGGAACAAUGGACUUUACCUAUGGGCUUCAAAUGGGCUUUGUAAUGUCCAAACAAUUUUGGUGAGGAGGACGUGUGCAGCCCAACCAAAACGAAUCGAGUCCAGAGGGGAUAUGCAGCGAGCGAGCGGGACAACGCGAAAGAACGAAUCGGUAUUUUCCACUCAGCGGUGGCAACUCGCAGUAAUUUUGCCAACUUUUGAUCGGACGGACGUGGACUGCUGUGCUAUACUACAUCAACGGCUGUAACAAUUCAGAUGACGUGGCUUCAUGAGGAGGCAGGAAAAUCAGCUAGUGGGGUGCUCCUAUUUAGAUAUAGAAGAUUCGUCAAGAUUAGUGCAGCAGCUGGCCCACUCAGAUAUAUUAUUGUGUAUAUUUGAGUGUCUAGCCCAUCACCAACAUGCAUGUCAGGGAAUAAGUACCAGUAGUACUUUUUUCACGCAUGCAUGCAGCAUCUCUUCUCUCUCUUCAUCCCCAACAAAUUCAUGCACUUUUAUUUCAUCUUAGACAAUUUAAAUCAACUCACAUCUUUUCAAAUAUAAGUUCGUUUGUGAAAUAAUUUAUAUUUUUGAAUUGUUAGCGCCAAGAUCUUUUGAACUAGACCAAUCUUGGAUACAUCAGACAAUUGGUUUUCAUCUUCAAUAAUCCCUUCCCAUUGUUAGGGAAUCUGCAACGCUGACCCUCCAGACCGAGCGGUCUGAACGUGUUUUGCCAUCAAGUGCGGGCCUGUAUCGUUUUAGCGAUAGGUCUGGACGUGCUUUUUCCCGCAAACCGAAAACAAACUUUGGGGGGAGGAGGGUUUGCGGACGUCCGGACCAUCUCCAUGCCCGCUUCUGACUGCAUUGGCCCACCCAAAAACCAUCCCUCGCCCGCGCCCUUCCCUCCGGAAGAUAGCUGCCCGCAUUCAUGCCGCUCUAUAGCAGCCGCUCCGCAUUGACGCCAGCCCAGAGAGGACAUGACCUCUCGCCGGCGCCGACAUUCAAGUGGCUCACUUGCCAAGGGUGCUACCCGCGCCACGUCCCCAGUGUUCAUGCCUGUUCAAUGCCGUAUAGAUGUUUACUGGAUGGGACGGGAUGGAUAUCUACCAUGCACAUUCGAUUCUCAUUGCUUCUCUACCGACAUCAAAUAGGCUCGUCGGCCAAGAAACCAACUCCGGUGCCCGUGCAUUCACACACUAGGACGCUUGGCCUCAUCGACAUCCACUAUUUAAAGGUGGACACACCCGGCUCACAGCACACCACAACCGAAACGCUCCAGGCCUUCCUCUCGUGCACCACAUCCGCCAUGACCGCGAGCGGGAAUGCUCUGUGGGAUUGCCUCUCGACGGAGAAGAAGCACGAGGUAGCAUCGCUUACGGCCACCUUGUAGAGCCGCCAUGCUAGGCAGAUAGAGACUGGCAUGCCGGCCAGCUAGCUCUUCGGAGGUCUCCGACAGCGACCCCACGAUGGAGACAUUCUCCGACGACGACUCCAUGCUAGUGCAUGCGGGCUUGACAAUGGAGUAGGAACAAGCGUACUUCAAUGCCGCCAUGGCCAAGGAGCAGUCGGUGCCCGCACCUAUGUUGGGCAGGCUUAGGAGGAACAACGCUAUAACCUGUUCAUACCCGAGCAGCACCGGCUGACGGAGGGCCAGAUCUACGGCGAGCGCACGAGCAAGGAGAUCGUGGUCGCUACAAACCCCAACUUUGUCACCGAGCAGCAGGCGCUCUACGAGGCUGCCUGCACUCAAGCCGCCGUUCACAACGUACAAGCGGCACCGCACACGAAGGUUGGGCAGGUAAUCACAGAAGAGAACGCCGGUAGCUGCGUGUCCUACGCACCACCGAACACUGUUUGGCCGCGCCGGUAGGAGGACGAUCGUGCUGGUCCCUCCACCUCCAUCAUGGACCUCACAUCCACUGGCGACGGACAGGUCGAAGACUCCGAUGAGGAUGAGUAGGGCAUGGGAGGCGGCGGGGGCAUGAGUACCAAAUGGGCCGGUCCUUCUGCCUUGUUCUACUCUUCCUCGCCAGCAACCGCCAAAUGAAGGAGGCGUUCGCCGGAAGGGAACAACAAGAGGUUGCAAUGAAACAUUCAAACGCCAUAACUCCCAUCUUCCAUCUUAUUGGCUGGCUGGUUGCUUAAAGAGGUUGCAAAGAAACAUUCAAACGCAAUAACUCCCAUCUUCAAUUAAUUGGACGCGGGCAACAGUGACAAGAACAAAUUAAUUAAGGAUGGCGAACGCACGACACAGCUUGGGCGGUGGCGGACCAAGCAAAGUUUGGGGUUACCAUUUGACAUUAUCAUAUCAUAUCGAACUUUGGCUCUACAAGGACUUAGAUAACAUAGAUGCAGACUUUGACAUAAUGUAUAUUUCAAAGCUUUCAAGUGUACGCUAGCAGGUUCAACUUGGCCAACAGAAUAAUAUUUCGAGAGUAGUAUAUGAAUUAUUGACCCUUACUCCCCGGGUUGUAAUUCAGAAGCUAGCAUCAUUCUUCACACCUCCAUUCUUUGGCUAUUUGCGCUCAACCAUGAAUACAUGGGGGAACAAGUGCUGAUAGCAAGACCUGAGAGGAGGUGCACGGACUGGUCCGACGACGAGGCCUACGGGGAGCGUCUGUUGGAGGUGUUGUCCGUGCAUGUUGACGGCGGACGGUAUCCCAGCGGCACAGUGACCGUCUACGACGGUAAGCGCGGCCAGAAGAUCUACAGCCGUAGGGAAGACCAGCCCAAACCAGCACCAUCAACUUCUUCUCCUCGCCACCAUCAGGUUCGCGUUUUCAUGUCAUCAUUCAUGCCUAAGAUCGAUCCCUUAUUUUAGAUGUAAACCACUUCUUCUUCUGUCCAAGCGUCAUUGUCCUAUGAUACAAUCGACUUGCUUUACUUUGGAGUGACCAAUAAUACAAAACGAACUACCUGAUGAUUUGCCAAAACUCUGCUUGCACUUUGAUAGCAUAUAUAUGCUUCAUGUUUGGUUAAACUACCCUGUUUCUUCCUUCUCCCAUCUCCUUGGGACACCACUACAAGGAGAAGUGACUCGAUCGCUUCCCCACCAGCUGGCUCCCUUCAUCAUUGUUUUGUGUCCCUCUAGCCUCUAAACAUUAAUCAGGCAACAGGUCAAUCUUUUUAAACUCUUUACUUCUAACCCAAAAUAAAUUAACUCCAAAUCAAACUAUUUCAAAUACGGAAAAUGAUAACAAAAUUUGUAAGCUCGAUAGCGGCACAUAGGUGUAAUUUUUACAACAAAGUUUUAAACAGAAACUGACGAGCUGGGACAUGUUCAAAUUCAACACAAAUUCAUAACUAUAAAUAUAAGAUGGACAGCUGUAAUCGUGAAUUUUGACACAAUUCCAUCCUCUAAGCAGGCUGCAGAUCUCAGCUUGCAGAGUAGGCUCAAGACACAAAUCACACACCUUCCACACAAACAAAUGUAGGGAAAAAACUUCAUGUAGUUUUCUAACCCUCGCCGAUCCAAGAACUUCUUCAUCCUGGGAGCACCUUCUCUUUUUUUUUUGCGGGAACUGGGAGCACCUUCUCUACUGCCGUCAGCCGUUAUGCUACCACCAGCGAAUUUCUACGAUAUAAAAAACAUCUACAGGAUGGCAUAGAAGUUUAGAUCAAUGAUAAUGCCUACCCAUUGGAGUAAGAAUAAAUAAAUAUACGAUUAAUUUUUGUUUUUAUCAGAAGAAUAUAUGGUUUGUAAAUAAUUUAACAAAAAUAUAGUAGAGAAGGAUUUUGAAAAAUUAUUCUGCGUAAAUUCUGACCAAGAUGUAGAAACAACGUUCAGCAGUUAAAAUACAUUAAUGUGGUAUAUCGUCGGUAUCAUAAAUGUUCACUUUUCCUAUGAACUUGGUUAGAAUAUAAAAAGCUUGAGUUGAGGAAAAUAUUAUAUGCAUCAUAACUUUACAAGGAGAAAGAGACUAAUUUGGGACCUCUGCUCUGAGUUGUCACUUUGUUUGCCUUGCCAAAAGCCGGCUCUGCCCCCCCAAAAAAAUAAGUUUCUGUUGAUGGAGCUGAUUACUGGAUGUGCCGAAGUAACCCGACACUUCAAAUUAACUAAACACUAGAUGCAUUCUACUCAUUUUCUUUCUAUACUUUGUUUCAUGGAGCUGUUUAGACUGCUGCUGCGGCUGGUGUAUUGCUUGCUUUGCCAUGUUUUGAUUUAUAUAAAAAUUCGGGCUCAUGCCUAUUAUCUAAAAAAAUAUACUAAUUUCAAAUAGAACAUCCAACUUUUUUCAAAGAGCUUUUCUGAGUUGGUUAACUGAUUUGCUGACAUAUUUUCAAAUUUGACACGAUUGCGUGACUGUAAACAGAAUGGGCUACCAAACCGUUAAUUCUGACACAACUCAACCACUGUAAACAGAAUGAGAUCCUGCUCACCGGCCCAUUUCGGGCCAUCGUGGCCAAUGGGUGCAUUGGGUUUGUGCUCAAUCUCCAUGAUGGAAGCCAGGACCAGAAGAAAGCAAACCAGAGCCAGAUACUCGUGGACUUGUAUGACCCGACGACAAAGUAUGACGAGCUCAUCUCAACUAAACUGGACACUGGCUACGGCCCGGCAGAGGUCAGAUAUGCAGUGCUCAGCAACGCCAUCGAAUGUGACGUUGAGGUGAAACUUGUCCUUGGAGAUGAUUCGGCUCCUGCAUAUGCCCACGGGACGAUCACGGCUUGCAGUGAGCUGCUGAAACAAGACAUCGUGCUCUUCGAUGGCGAGAUCAUGGAUGCGACCUCGCCGGAGCUGAUCCUUCCACUGGCUAGAUCAGUCCUAGCAGCGCCACUGAAGUGGUCCCUAAAGAUUGAGGUGGUUCUGAGAGGGUCCUCUGGUGAAGAGCUUGCGAGAGAUCAUGUCAUGUUCUAUCCUGUCCUUGACGACGAGCAUGUAUCGCAUGCUGUUGCCAACAGUGGUAUAUUUGAAGUAAAGAUGACAUGGUCAGAUGAUCAAGAUUACUAACUAAUGUUAUCAGGUAGUAGCACCUCUGUCUCUGUUUGUGCCUUCAAUUCCUUUGUUGGGAAUUACUGCAUUCUGUAACCUCCGAUAAUUAUAAUCUAAUUAAGCUAGUAGAGCUAGCUAGCCUUGAAAGAAAGUGAACACCGUACUCUAGGUAGGCAGUUUAUUAAUGUUUGCUCCAAAUUAAUUUGGUGGUUUUUUUUUCGAAAAACAUCUUAUCUAUUCAUUUUCAAUCACGACAGUACAGCGAGAAUCAGAAAUAAUAAAAAUUACGACUAGAUCAAUAGACCAUGACUGCAAGCACUAAAGCGAGGCCAAGGCGUGCCGCCAUCAUCGUCCAUCCCUUACCGCAGUCGGGCAAACCUAAUUGUAGUAGACAAUCGGAAAGUUGUCGUGCUAAGGCACCAUAAGAUCAAAGCACCAGAACAACAACAACUGCCGAUGAAGAGUAGCGUAGAUCUAAAGUAUCCAACCUGAAGACACAAGAACGUAGACGAACGACGACUAGAUCCGAGCAGAUCCAUCAAAAACAGAUCCACUGGAGACAUAUCUCCACAAGCACACCGACGAUGCUAGGCACACCACUGGGACAGCGCCUAGGCGGGGAGAGCAUUAUUUUGUUUUCAUGGAGCCGCCGUCAUCUCGCUUUCUUGAGCAGGACCUAAACCAUAACAAAACUCAAAGGAACUUCUAAAAACGGAGCUUUCCCUCCGGCAAGGGCCAAGAUCCACCGCGCCUCAUAACCUUAAGGCCACGGAAGACUGGUGGCCGACAUCGCAAAUUGUUUGGACAGAUUGUGCUUCGUUACUUAUCUGAUAUGCUGAUGGCCUGCUUUGGCUAGGCGCCGGCCCGCCGACCGCCUAGCAUCCAACUGUGUUCGUUGGAUACGUCCCCCUGCGCUUGCUGGCCAUGGACCCGUCUUCGCUCGUCGCCCCCGGCUGCCCACAUUCGUCGCCCCACCCGCGGCGCUCGUCGCCCCGUGCCCGCGCACGUCGGCCAUGUGCGCUCACCGCUUUGCCCGCUCGCACGAGCCAGCAAUCCCCCGAGCUGACCAGUGGUAGCAACUCUGCUGGUGUUUUGUGGCUGACCUACGCUGAAGCUGAUUCCAGCAUAAAAACAUGCCGGUUGUAGCUUUUUUUCUUGCCAUUAAUGCAGCUCCGCCCUACGGAUGAUUGACUGGUUACAGCAAAUAGAAAUGCCGAUUGUCUGUCAUAGCAAACGGAGACAACGGUUGCAUCAGAAAAGUCGUCGCCAUCAUCGCUGGUUGUAGCUCCCCGUUGCAGGUACUAGCCUUCGCGUCUAAAAAUGAACGCAAAGUUUCUUUAUAGCUCGUCCUACACGGUGUCCCUUAUUUGUGCCGUUGGUCAUCGCCACGGAGAUGUGUGCUAGUGCCAGCAUUAGCAGCAGUAUUCAUGUGGCCACACAGUGAUUAGUGUGAAAAGGCAGAGGAACAGUAGCGAGAAGAGAGGUCGCAGCAUGCAGAGAUAAAGCUGACAGGUCUGCGCAUGGCUGUAGGUCUAGGCUGUUCACAGUGCGUUUGAAGUGACAACACAUAGAGAGUGCAUGCUCACAUGCUGCACAUGCAUGCAGAUUUUUAUUUUAACAUGCUAGCAGAUUAUGCACGAAACAUCAAAUCUUCUUAUAAUAUAUGGUACCGAGUGGGAGCUCGAGUCAGAUUUUUUGAGAGAAAAAAAGAAAACGUGAGAAGAGAGGAACGCUCCAUGCAUGUGAGACAAACUAGGCGCGAAGGGAGACAGAUGUGCAUGCAGUAGACUAGCCUCUGCAGACUUACAUAAAUUACUGUUCACCUAGGGGAUCAGCCCAUUUAUUUUAUACAACGUCUGGCCUGGGUGGGGCGAUCUCCUGUCCCUCAUGUGUUAAUUACUUGCAAUGACUGCUCACAUAGCACAUAUCUCUAUGUAGAGUAUUACAGAAUGAACAGAUAAGAUAGUAGGUUCCGUGAAGCUCCAGCUACAAAAAACUGCACUCGUGAAUGAAUGGACAUAGCAAGAGUCGUUGCUAGAAGUAGCAAAAACCUACUACGGUUGCAGCAAAAAAUUAGCCGCCGUUGCCAUGGGUCGCAGCUCAGCUCUGAUGGAUGUAGCAAAAUGUGAUGCCGGUUGUAGCAAAAGGAGACGCUAGUUGCAGCAAAACCGCGACGCCGGCUGUGUGCUGUAGCAAAAGGUGACACCGGUUGUAGCAAAAUGCGACACCGGUUGUAGCAAAAUGCAAUACCGGUUGAAGCAUGUAGCAAAACCUGCGGCAUUAGUUUUUUGCUAGGAGCAGUGCCGCCCCCAUACUCGCCGCGCUUGGUGGCCAUGACGCUGCCCGUGCUCGUCACCCUGGGCGCCCGCGCUCGUCACCCCGGCCACCCGCGCUCGCCGGCCAUCACCUCACGUCAAAAAAGCUGAUGCGGAGUCGCACAUGCCAGCACCUCGCGCGAGCAAGCAACCAACCGAAAUAUUCGGCUGGCAUGUAGGCGAGAAGGGUUUUCAUUUGCUACAAUUGAUAUUUAUCACUCAUUGUGAGCCUUAAGGGUUCGAUCACCCACUAGCUUAGAUGGAUGAGCCUGUCCAAUAGGAAUUAAAGCGAAGCCACCGAGCGAGCCGCUACGACGUGUUUAAGGAAUCUUCUAGAAGUUUCUUGAACGAUUUUGAAAAGAAGGUUCCUAAUUUAUUUCCUGGCUUUUCCUUAUCUUUUUUUUUGUUCUUCAUGUGUUCUAUUUCUAAUUUUCCUGUUCUUCUUUUCUAGAAGUGCAGAAAUCCUAAAAUAUGCUGAAUUUUUUUAAAAAUUGUUCGGAAUUACAAACAAUUUUCACCUUUUCAAAUUUUUUUUUUGCAAAAUGAGUUCAUGUUUUCACAAAUUAUUCAUAUUUUUCAACCAAAUUCUUGGCUUUUUUAAAAAUUUGUUCACAAUAAUAAAAAUAGGAAAUGAUAAAAUAGUUCACAAAUUUUCAAAUGUGAGAAUUUUUUUAUUUUCAAAAAAUUAUAAAAUCAGCAAAUAUUUUCCAAAUCUACAAACAAUUUUCAAAUCCAUCAACAAUUUUUAAAUUCACGUAUUUUUAUCCAUGGAUAGUUUUUGAAUUGAUGAACAUUUUUAUCAUUCCACAAACAUAUUUUCAAACCGUUAACAAUAUUUAAAUUAGUGAUAUUUUUUCAAAUUCAUGAACAUUUUUUAAAACACAAACAUUUUCAAAUUCAUGUAACUUUCUUUAUUCCAAGGAAUUUUUUCGAAAAUACCACAAAAAUAUCCACAUUGUUUUAGUUGUCAUUAUGUUAUAAGAAAAAACAGAAGAAAACACCUACGCUACGUUGUUGGAGCCAGCGAUCGAAGGUAUUGGGCUGGCCCACGCGGCAUGAGGAAUUACUCCCUUAAUGCUUGCAGCGAGUGUGCUAUAGAAGCUCCCUACAAUUGCAGGAGCAACUAAUAAGCGGGCACCCUUUCGAGGGAAAACCUAGCGGGUUCUCGCAGGAGCUGCUCCAUCCACCGUCACGUGUCGUGCGUUGCGUGCACCCUCUGAAUUUUUCUAUUAUGCACACGUUUCUUUUGGCUUUUUUCGAGUUUUUUUGGGGUGUUAUGUGUUUUCCCUGAUUUUUCGAGGUUUUUGAGAUUUUUUUUUUGUUUUCUGAGAAGCACACCCUGUGAGAAGCACAUCUAUGUUUCACGAUGAAGCACAACUGUGCUUUACUGUGUACCACGGCUGUGCUUUUCGAAAGUGGCCGAGUUUUGUUUUUCUGGUUUUUGAUUUAUGGUUUUUCUGGUUUUGAUUUUUUUAUUUCUAGAUUUUCUUUGGGUUUUUAGUUUUUCCGGAUAACAUUGUAGAAACUUCUUAACAGGAUAUCUAAUUGUCCGUUUGCCUUUUCAAGGUUGGCACUGAAAUUGUUAGGAAAUCCUAAAGUUAUCCACUUAAACUGAUUGCGAAAAACGCUGGUGUUAAGGGCAGCUUGGUUACUAAGAAGGUUUGGAUUCAGAUUUUUCUCUUAUGUGAACCUGAUACUCAGCAACUUCUUCUUUUCUAAUUUGGAGGCUGCCUGCGCCCAGGUCCAUGUGAAUGACAACUUGACAUUGAAUUAUGAGGAUUUGGCUCCUGUUAUUAUUGAUCCCACCAAGGUACGAGCAAACUGUGGUGACAUCUAUGUCUUGUCUCAGAAUUUUUUCUCAAACUAAAUCUUUCUUUUUAACAAUUGUGUUAUGCAAGUGAACGNNNNNNNNNNNNNNNNNNNNNNNNNNNNNNNNNNNNNNNNNNNNNNNNNNNNNNNNNNNNNNNNNNNNNNNNNNNNNNNNNNNNNNNNNNNNNNNNNNNNNNNNNNNNNNNNNNNNNNNNNNNNNNNNNNNNNNNNNNNNNNNNNNNNNNNNNNNNNNNNNNNNNNNNNNNNNNNNNNNNNNNNNNNNNNNNNNNNNNNNNNNNNNNNNNNNNNNNNNNNNNNNNNNNNNNNNNNNNNNNNNNNNNNNNNNNNNNNNNNNNNNNNNNNNNNNNNNNNNNNNNNNNNNNNNNNNNNNNNNNNNAUUAGAGCAUCUCUAGCAGACCCCGCAAAAUACGAACCCAUAUAAGUGUUUUGCAGUUUGCGAAAAGCGCGUAUGCAGGACGGUGCGGCCGAGGGUAGACUCAUACCCCGCAAAACGGACCCGUAAAAAGGCAUAUUCACCGAAUAUACGUUUUUACGGGUCGGCUACGCGGGGUUCGCUCGGGCGGCGCUGUGCCGACCCGCAAACCGAAAACCCCAAUAAGCUAAAAUGAGUUCAAAUUCGGACAAAUGAGUUCAAAUUCAAACACUAAAACAUAGUUCGCGCGUGAAAUAAAAGCAUAGUUUUGAUAGGACAAACGCAAAAGGACUUGCAAAAGCGACGACUAUGUCCGGCAUCAUCUUGGUCGAUCUUCACUCCGUGCCAUCGAGUCCAUGGAGAUCAUCGGAGCCAACGAAUCCACCUCCGGCGCUUGUGCCAACGCCAGCAGCGAAAUCAUCGGCUGGUGCAAUGAACGCAUCGGCGACAUUGGCUCCAAACACCGCACCGAAUCCACCUCCCGCACUGUAACACGCACUGGCCGAUGCAACCACUCUCGUCUUCAAGAUUUCUCUUCUUGCCAUAUAUAUCAUGCCAUUCUUUGGUGAGGUCAUCCAUGUCAUUGCGGUUCAUUGACAUAAUCUUGUUCUCUUCGGUGAGCAACAUGGACGUGGCUUUGUUCUUAGCGAAACAUACUCUUCUCUCCUCAAUGGCCACUUUGCGCAGCCCCUCUUCCUUGAGCAACUCACAUUUCUCAUGCUUCUCCGUGCCUUCUUCUCGGCCAAUUAUUUCUUGAUCUCCAACAACUUCAAAAGCAUCAUCUCAUUUGAUUGCACCAUGGCAUCAAUCUUCUCCCUCAAACUCGCCGCUUCGUGCUCUCUCUUGAUCUUCUCCCUAGUCUUCUUGUCGCCAUCGGGCUUGUUCAAGUUCCUUGGGCCAUCAUCAUCCUCAUCUUCAUCCAUGUUUGUAAGUGAACCUCUCUUCGGUGGGGGCUCUUUCUCUGUCAACGCCCAAUUGUCGCAAUUCUUGAGCAACUCCCAACAAUGAUCUAGUUUGAAGAAUUUGCCUUCCGAAGCCUCUAUGUCUUGAAGGAAAUAUGCCCUAGAGGCAAUAAUAAAGUUAUUAUUUAUUUCCUCAUAUCAUGAUAAAUGUUUAUUUUUCAUGCUAGAAUUGUAUUAACCGGAAACAUGAUACAUGUGUGAAUACAUAGACAAACUUAAUGUCACUAGUAUGCCUCUACUUGACUAGCUCAUUAAUCAAAGAUGGUUAUGUUGCCUAACCAUAGACAUGUGUUGUCAUUUGAUUAAAGAGAUCACAUCAUUAGGAGAAUGAUGUGAUUGACUUGACCCAUUCCGUUAGCCUAGCACUUGAUCGUUUAGUAUGUUGCUAUUGCUUUCUUCAUGAGUUAUACAAAGUUCCUACAACUAUGAGAUUAUGCAACUCCUGUUUACCAGAGGAACACUUUGUGUGCUACCAAACGUCACAACGUAACUGCGUGAUUAUAAAGGAGCUCUACAGGUGUCUCCAAAGGUAGAUGUUGAGUUGGCGUAUUUCAAGAUUAGGUUUUGUCACUCCGAUUGUCGGAGAGGUAUCUCUGGGCCCUCUCGGUAAUGCACAUCACUAUAAGCCUUGCAAGCAAUGUGACCAAUAAGUUGGUUACAGAAUGAUGCAUUACGUAACGAGUAAAGAGACUUGCCGGUAACGAGAUUGAACUAGGUAUUGGAUACCGACGAUCGAAUCUCGGGCAAGUAAUAUACCGAUGACAAAGGGAACAACGUAUGUUGUUAUGCGGUUUGACCGAUAAAGAUCUUCGUAGAAUAUGUAGGAGCCAAUAUGAGCAUCCAGGUUCCGCUAUUGGUUAUUGACCAGAAACACAGUUCUAGGUCAUGUCUACAUAGUUCUCGAACCUAUAGGGUCCGCACGCUUAACGUUACGAUGACAGUUUUAUUAUGAGUUUAUAAGUUUUGAUAUACCGAAGGUUGUUCGGAGUCCCGGAUAUGAUCAUGGACAUGACGAGGAGUCUCGAAAUGGUCGGGACAUAAAGAUUGAUAUAUUGGAAACCUAUAUUUGGAUAUUGGAAACGUUCCGGGUGAAAUCGGGAUUUUACCGGAGUACCGGGGGGUUACCGGAACCCCCCCUGGGGUUAAUGAGCCUACAUUGGCCAUAAGGGAGAAGAGGAGGGCCGGCAAGGGCGGGCCGCGCACCCCCUCCCCCCUAGUCCAAAUAGGACAAGGAAGGAGGGGGGCCCUUUCCUCUUUAGCCCUUCCCCCUUCUUUCUCCAACAAGGCAAGAGGGGGGAGUCCUACUCCCGGUGGGAGUAGGACUCCUCCAGGCGCACCCCUAGGGGGCCGGCCGCACCUCCCCCCUCCCUCCUUUAUAUACGGGGGCAGGGGGCACCUCUAGACACACAAGUUGAUCUUCAUGAUCGUUACUUAACCGUGUGCAGUGCCCCCCUCCACCAUAUUCCACCUGGGUCAUAUCGUUGCGGUGCUUAGGCGAAGCCCUGCGUCGGUAGAACAUCAUCAUCGUCACCACACCGUCGUGCUGACGGAACUCAUCCCCGACACCCUGCUGGAUCGGAGUCCGGGGAUCGUCAUCGAGCUGAACGUGUGCUGAACUCGGAGGUGCCGUACGUUCGGUGCUUGGAUCGGUCGGAUCGUGAAGACGUACGACUACAUCAACCGCGUUGUCGUAACGCUUCUGCUUUCGGUCUACGAGGGUAUGUGUACACACUCUCCCCUCUCGUUGCUAUGCAUCACCAUGAUCUUGCGUGUGUGUGUAGGAUUUUUUUUUGAAAUUACUACGUUCCCCAACAUGUCUUUGCAUCUAUGUUGGGCAAUUUUGUCCUACACAAUUUGAACAAUGCAAAUGUUUCAUAUGACGCAAUCAUUUUGAAUGAUGCAAUGUGAUUCACACAAUUUGAAGAAAGGUAGAAUGAACUCACAUAGUCGGACUCCACGGUUCCACUUGGAGGUGCAUUGCGUAUUUGCUCCAAGCAAGCUGUCCAACGGCUGCAAAUGGGCUUGAUCACGUCCCAACGCCCUUGGAGCGACCGAAAGGUGCGUGGAGUCCUAUUGGGAUACUUUGCCAUCAUGCGGAAGUAUUGAUUUUCGAUCCUUUGCCAAUAACUCUUGGCGGUUUGAGAAGUACCCAUGCAUGCAUCAAGAGAUAACGCACUCCAUGCCUUGAUCAAGAUUUGGUCUUCCAAGACCGUGUAGUUCUUCGACCUCUGGCUUUUCCCACUCUUUGCUUGCGAUUGCUCAUACGCCAACUCAUCGAUCUCCUCCAAUUCUUCUUCACCUCCAUGAUCAUCCAUGCUGCCCUCCGUUUCAUUGUACUCAAAUGCGGCGAAUGGGGCCUCAUCGAUGUCAACGGCGUUGGUGUCCAACAAGUUCACGAACUCGUCAGUUGCAUUGUUCGAACCACCGCUAUAGCGAACGGCAACAACUCACGAGCUAAUCGCGAAAUCAAAGAAUAUUUCCAUGACCAAAGAGUGAACGGAUGACCGAGCCAUACCUUGCGCCCAUUUCGUCGAACACAUCGCCUACUGGGGGAGCAGCACCGUUGAGCGGGAUCGCUGGGGAACCUAUUUCCGGGCCGGAGGGAGUCAGAUGAAGUAGCCGGCCGCCUAGUAGCCGGAGUCUUCCUCCGCUUUGCGCCCGGGACCUUGGCGACCUUCGCCACCGCCGGCCGGGAUCGCGCAGCCGCGUUAGCGCCCGGAGCGCGGGCCCUACCGGCGGGGGCAGCCGGGUUCCCGACCUCCACGGGCACGCUGCCCUGACGCUUGCGGGCAGCCGUGGUGGCGCCUUGGGCAACGAUGGGGCCAACAUGGCCGGCGACGAGAUCAGCUCGAGGGGAUUGAGCGUGCGCGGCCUCGACAGAUACAUGGGAGGGCAAGGUGUCAUCCAUGGCGGCGACAGAUCGUCGGGGAAGGUGAACGGGAGCGGGAGGUGGCGGGAGCAAUGGUGGUCGGGGGGUGGGAGGAGCGGGAACGGCCGCACGGAAAUGUCCCUCCCGCCAAAUCUUGCUACGGAUAGGGGCCGAGCUCGGGUCGUGCUCCCGCCCCGUGAAACUAGAGGUCGGGGGCGAUCUUUUACCGCGCCCCGCAAAAAAAAUUCCGGGUCAGACGCGGAUGCAGAGUCUGUUCGGGCGGGAUUUUCCGCGCCGACCCACAUUUUGACGGUUAUUUUGCGGAUCGAGGCCUUUUGCGGGGUCUGCUAGAGUUGCUCUUAUAUUCAAUCAUAUUGAAACAUUAAGGAUGACCACCCAUAGACUAAAGAAAUGACCAGUUUGAGGAGAUCUCGUGUGGCUCUACCCCUCGAAUAUUUGUCACCACUCUCCUUUCUCUUCACAAGCAGUGGGCCCAUAAGCUAACCUGAUUUCUCACAAAACAGGUUGUGAGGUGCUGCCUGUAGCAUGCCGCAUCGGUGGCGAAAACUUUCAUCACCUCGGACGCCGUCGUGGUCGACACCAAGGAAUCUGAGAAGGCGCCUGCCGCGAACCCAAUGGCCGGUUCAGGGACAACAAAAUAUGUGCUCGUCGCCAGUACAAUAUUUGCCAUCUAACUAGUUUUGAUGUUGUCUGCAGGUUACGGGUUCUAAAAUCUGCAAGAAGAGCCAGUAGCUCUAUUUUGGUGUCCAUUGGGCAGCAUGCUGCGUCCAAUAAUACUACACGUACAGGAUGAUCGUACAAAGUUUUACAGGAUGACAACGUGGCCUAAUCUAAUUGCUCCCCCCCUGAUUUUCAGGGUGGGGCCGUCCCCCUUAAUCAUAUUCCAACCAAUCACAGUCAACGAGCCUGUAAAUCCCCCGUACAACGCCCGUACGUCUAGCAUUGCUCUGCUGCGUCGGAGGUUAUAUUUUGAGAAAAAGAAGCGUGGGUACUAUUGCGUCGCAGGUCGAAGCCGGAAAUUAAUUUUUUGGUGCUAUUGUCGCGAACCAAAAGUCGGAACGUGAGUCUUCUUUAAUUUUUUAUUACACUAGCAAUCUAGUCUUGAAAGGAAGUGUACACUAUUUUUUUUUGCGAGAAAGUGAACACUGUAUUUGUAGGCAUAGGUAAUUUAUUAG